rfam:Punctularia strigosozonata HHB-11173 SS5 unplaced genomic scaffold PTNSTscaffold_8, whole genome shotgun sequence.
GGUGCGAUGGCCGAGCGGUCUAAGGCGUUGGAUUUAAGUAUUUCUUGAAUCCCAAUGGGGGUAACCCCGCGCGAGUUCGAACCUCGCUCGCACCA